AGAGUUUGAUCCUGGCUCAGAACGAACGCUGGCGGCAGGCCUAACACAUGCAAGUCGAGCGCGCCUUUCGGGGCGAGCGGCGGACGGGUUAGUAACGCGUGGGAAUAUACCCUUUGGUACGGAAUAGCCUCUGGAAACGGAGAGUAAUACCGUAUGAGCCCUUCGGGGGAAAGAUUUAUCGCCAAAGGAUUAGCCCGCGUUAGAUUAGGUAGUUGGUGGGGUAAUGGCCUACCAAGCCUACGAUCUAUAGCUGGUUUUAGAGGAUGAUCAGCAACACUGGGACUGAGACACGGCCCAGACUCCUACGGGAGGCAGCAGUGGGGAAUCUUGGACAAUGGGGGCAACCCUGAUCCAGCCAUGCCGCGUGAGUGAUGAAGGCCUUAGGGUCGUAAAGCUCUUUCGCCUGUGAAGAUAAUGACGGUAGCAGGUAAAGAAACCCCGGCUAACUCCGUGCCAGCAGCCGCGGUAAUACGGAGGGGGUUAGCGUUGUUCGGAAUUACUGGGCGUAAAGCGCACGUAGGCGGACUGGAAAGUUGGGGGUGAAAUCCCGGGGCUCAACCCCGGAACUGCCUCCAAAACUAU
rnacentral:rRNA from 1 species